UUAAUAACAAAAUAUAUUUGAAAUGUCUUAAAAAAAAUAUUGGGUUGGUUAAAAAGUCCAUUGAGUUUUUUUCUGUAAAAUAAGACACAUUUUUCAUUUUCACCAAUAACUUUAUUGAUUUGGAUAUUUUGAGUAUGUUGGCUAUUUCCCAUGUUGGAGAACAUUGACUAUUCUCAAUCAAUGUCUCAAUUUGAUCACUAUCAACUUCAACUGGUAGACCCAACUGUGGAGCAUCAUCCAGUGAGAAAUCUCCAGCACGAAACUUAGCAGACCACUUUUGAGAUGUUGGAUCAGUCACAGCAUCUUCUUCAUACACUGCACAAAUCUUUUUUGUGUUUCAGUUGCAUUUUUACCUUUGUUGUAAUAAUAAAGCAUCGUACAGUGAAAAUGUUGCUUAUUUUCCUUCAUCUUCAAUAUUAAAA